GUAGUAACAGGAAAUUAAACAGUAAUUGAAACCCCCUCCUCAAACAAAUGUACCUCAUGACCUGUAUUAUGCUGAGGUACAAUUUUUUUGGUGAAAAAAAUAUAGAAUGCUGGAAGUGUUUCGAUGUGCUAUUGGAAAAUCCUUUGAAAAAAAAUGGGUAGGGUUCACCAGGACACGGCUUAGGUAGCACUUCACAGAAAAUAUAGUUACAAUUGAGCCACAGAAUGUUGAAUAACCUUCCAACCCUGGCCUUCUAAUACGUUAGGCCAACUGUUAGUGUCAUACAUGCAAAACUACAGACCUAUCUACGGAGUGCUACCAUACUCACAUGCUCCCGAUACUAGUAUGUUGAAGAAGUAAUGAAAUUAAUAGAACCAGAGCCGGAUUUAGUGGGGAAUGGCGUUGAUGAGAGUUUUUAAUAGUCUUGAUUUGAUUGAUUGAUAUACAUGGAAGUUUUUAACGACACUGACUCAAUGACUGGCUAUACAACACAUAGAAGUUUUUGACGACAUUGACUGCCUAAACAGCCCUUUGAGUUUCUCAGUCGGCUAUAAAGGGGGAAUGACACGGUGUCCGCCCCCUUUUGUUGAAAAAUAAAUAUUGAUUAUAUAGGGAAUCACUUGAGAAUGACUGGAGCUGGUCCUCUCAUGACAUUAUCAGUUAGUCUCCCCUCUCCUUAUAUAUAAAAAAAUCUGGAUCUGCCACUGAGAAACAAGUUUAAUAAAUUAAAAAAAAGAAUGUGUCACUAGUAUACACGGAUGCCCAAUCCGCACUAUCAUUUUCUAUGUUUAACAGACCAGGGACUUUCUUUACUUAGUAUAGAAAGUCCCUGAGUGGACUGAGGAAAUGAGGUAAUUCUAAUUUGGCAUUAAAUUUAGAAAGAUCAUAUCAUUGUGAACAUGUGUACUAAGUUUAAAAUUGAUUGGAUAUCAACUUCAUCAAACACUACCUCGACCAAAAACUUCAACCUGAAGCGGGACAGACGGACGAACGAACAAACGAACAGACAGACCAG
rnacentral:lncRNA from 1 species